CUGCCACUUUUUGUCCUCCGCGUCCUGGUCCUCGCGUGCGACACCCUGAAUUUCCGGAUCGACAAGGACCGAUCGAUUUUUCCCCUUCCUCCUGUGCCGCUCGCGUGGGCGGCUCUGAAGGCGCUAACCCUAGCCCCGUGAGUGCCUCCCUCCCCGAGCUCCCCUGGCUGUCGACGCCGGCGGCGGUGGCGGCGCCCGGCCGUCGUAGGCGGCGGGCGAAGUCGGUGCGCCCCGACGGGCCUCCCACGCGCGGGGGAGUGGCGUCAUGCGGGCGACGCGGUGGUCUCUCCGGUGUGGAGGCGGGUGGCGCGGCGGGCGGUGAGGUGCGCACAGGGAGGCGGAGCACGGCCGCGGGAUUGUGGAUGAGGUGCUGGUGUGCGGCGCUUCUCCUGAGAGCGCCUGGCGGUUGUCGGAGGGGGCGGCGCGCCCGGGCAUCGAGGCGGCUGAUCUCGACCAGGUGGGCUGCACAAGCGGCGGUCGGCAGCGGGCUCAGAUUGCGUCGGCGGCGGCGGGGUCUAUCUUCUCCGUCGAUCAGCGACGGCGUGGGACACCCCGGGCUCGGCCGUGAAGAUGGAUUUCUCCGGCUAGGCAAUCGACUCCGCAAAUCUGUUCCUCGAACUCGCACCAGGGAUGCAUAAUGCCCCUGCGCCCGUUCCUACAGGGAGGCACACUGGUUGAACCACUGAAAGGGAGCACAUAAAGCUGCAGAGGCAACAACUCCAAAGGAAUCAGUGUGAUUGCUGUAAUUUGAGAAGGCACUGAUAUAACACUGAUAUUACUGAAGAAAUCAUUUCUGCAACACUCGAUCUUGAGUCUGCACUUGCUAACAGAGAUGCACCCAAAACACGAUACUCCUGAUUGUUUGAUUGGUAACAAUCCUCUCGCAGAAAACUCUAAUUAGAUUCCUUUUACUUUCCAAAUCUUGACAUUUUGCAUUUUAAUUAUUAGCCUAUAUGCACGGUAUCAUAGAAAAUUAUUGCUAAUGUCUACAUUGGAAAGGAUCCAAACUAUAAACAAGUAACUGGUGAUGUUAUCCACUAGGGCUUUCUUUCACAACUCACUGCCGAUGUUGUUAAUUUAUCUUGCAUCUCCGCCUCCUUGGCAUUAUCCUUUUUGUAGUUAAGCAUGAACAUGAUUUAGAUGCUCAUAUUCAGGUAGCAUUCUUGGGUGAGUUAUUGAUUUUUGUUUCAGUGCGAGACAAUUUUUUAAUAUUAUUAUUUUGCUCCUCAUUUUGUCUAGGUAGCAUAGGAUUAUACCACCGAUAAUUCUUAUUAGGAUUUGCUGCACAACAAGCAUGGUGCACGCACAUGCCUGCAUAUUUGUCAAUAUUCUAUCAGAAGCAGUUUGCUGCGCACUUAAGUGUAACAGAAGGUGUGCUACUGUUUCCACAUCUCCUUGUGCGAAUCACUAAUAUUUUUUUCCAAGUCUUUUCUUCCUUUUUGUAAUGACCCUGAAAUAGUUUCAGCAUUGGAGUCAGUUUCUUCGUUGUCUUCAGUGUUCUUAUGGCGAAGGAAGUCCCCGGUUUGUAUAGGCGAUUGUGUGCACAUGAAUAUUUUUCAUAAUAUACAAUUAAAUUUUAUAGUAAACACUUCUAUGAUGGUGAAGUUUUUUCUGGAUCUGACCAAGAUGAACAAUGUAACCUGGGACAAUACUUUGUAUCAUAGGAAAUUUUCCAAGUCUUCAGUGUUCUUAUCUUCGACAUAUUCAGUGUUCUUUCCUUCAGGAUCCCUGUAAUUUUUUUUCAGCAUGACUUAGCACAGUUAACUGAAGAUGUUCCGUCAUCUAAACAUGCUAAUGGCCAAGCAAAUAUUCAGGUAUACCGGAAACCUCUGUAGCUAUACAAAUAUAACUUGGUAGCACACUUUACUGUAGUAAGAUGUUUAUAUGCAAAAGUAUUAAAAACUGAUAUACCAAGACUACCGUGAGUCAUGCAUGUCCGUGCCUUCCAGGUGAUGUGCCCAACAUUCUUCUGCACAAGAAUGGCUAUGGGAGCUGAGCGUGAACCAUAUAUAUCACUUUGAUUAAAGUUGGGUAAUUUGAGGCUGGAGCCGAGUCGUGUUUGGUCACACAUUGGAGCUGUUCUUGUGAACUUGGGUGAUGAGCGGGUGGCAUUUGUACCUAAAGGGAUGACCAAAUACUGCAGAGGAACAUUUUAAUCGAUGAUGGGAAAUCAUGGUGGUUUAUGAUCCUUGCAAGCGUAUGAGAAUAUCUUUGCCACAUCACAGGACAAACAAUUUGAAAGAGAGUUGUAGUGAAAGUUGGCUAUCAUGAUGUGAA